UAUGAUGUGUACUGUACCUUGCAUGUGGAAAGCAGCAAAUGAAAAGCAUCAGGAAACCACACUGCACUAAAUACUCCCGACUCAGAGUGAUUAGUUCAAGGUCAUGCUGCUGAGUCAUUUUAUAAGAAUGUGUCAAUUUUAAAACUUCAGGCCAAGAGAUCCUUGGAAUACACACACCAAACCCUGGCAGUCAGUGAAACAUUAACAGUUCAUGGAGCUGCCUUUCACAAACCUAGAAGUAGCUUUCAUCUUGUUGGCUUUUGUCAUUUUCUCCUUGUUUUCCCUGGCUUCCAUCUACAGUGACCCUCAUGACCAUAACGCAGGGUUGGAUGAAAUGAGCAUCCUUGAAAUCUUGUGGAACAGUUUCUUCCUUGCAAAAGAGUAGCAGUACCUCAUGCAAUCUUUGCAGCAAGCCUUUGUUUGCACAUUUGUAUAUUUCAGCGGACACAGAACACUGCUCACAGGAAGAAAAGAGGAAAAGGAGAAAGGUGGACAAGAGAAAAAAUCAUGCAAGUGUGACUGAAGUGAUUUAGGAUGAGAAGUACUUUUCACACCAGUUGCUAGAUACACAGCUGAUAAAGGUUGAUGUGGAAGCUGGUCACCUGGCAGUGGUGAAAUGAAGGAUGUGACAGAAAGGAAGGAGCUGCUCAUUGAUCAGAUGGAAUCCAGACAUGACAGUAACAGUUAAUGAACCAUGUCCUAUGAAGCAGCUUCAGCACCUUUUUACAACCCCACUUCUCAGCCUUAAUAAAAGUAUCAGAGCCUUUAAAGGAGCACAUCUGCUCCAGUAACUGAUGGCAGAAAACUUUAACUGCAGGAGUUACAGUUUGGUCCUUCGCAGGAUUUCACUCUCUGUACCUAUUAUGCUUAGAGAAUAUUUCAUAAUAAUGUGUUAGUUGUUAUGUCCAUAAUAGCCACAGAAAGAGCAGGAUAAUAACAUUUCUGUAAUGAAGCUUUGUACAGCAUCACUGCAGAAAUUAGAUAUUUAAUUUAUGUUAAUUAUAAGAAAGAACUGAAGCUGACUGAAAAGGAAUAGGAAAAUCAUUUUCCAAAACUUCUCAUUAGUUCAGUGGCAACUUUAAAUAAGUAUUUUUUUUUGACUUCUAACAACUGGCAAGUUUAAAUCUGACCCCUGAAAAGCUGAGUAGCUGAUUGGUUGCUUGUGAAAGAUGCUCAUCUGACAGGCCUUGAGUAUGAACUCUUCAUUUAUCCAUAGAGCAUGUGUAACUUGAUGCAACAAUGUAGCUACUCACUUACUAAGAUAACUUGCUAAUGUGGGUCAUAACCCUGCACUGGAAAGACCAUCUCUGGCAGGGCAGGUUGGCCUUAUGCUGAGAUUGUCAAUAAGAUAGCCAGAUAUGUCAACUGUUACAGCACAAACUGGAAUGCACACAUUGGCCAAUAAAGAACAUUUUUACAUCAAUAUCUUCUGAUCACUAUCAACCAGGUUAAUAGGUACAUAAUUCUUUAUUAUGUUACUAAUUCCCUCAGCUGCACAGUAAUAUACUUCAACUCUAAUAUGUUACAAACUGAAUUCACAUCCAGUAAAAGGAAGUUCUAAUUUACACAUGCAGAGUUGAAGUUAUAGGUAUCCAGCCUUUUAUCAACUGUUCACAUCUUUAAAUAUAUUACAGUAUCCAACACAAAGUUAUGAGGACACUGGAUUCACUGCAUCCCUGAAUUUAAAUUAUUACAUAAGCCUAAACAGUAUCUAAGCAUAAUACUGUCAAUGUCUUCCAAGGAAGUGAGGGGAAUAGCUUAUUCCUGUCAAAUGACUGAGGUUGUCCCAAAUUCCUGCUUUAGCUCCUGACCUUCUUCUCACCACUUCUUUCUAGCUGAAGGGAACUGGACAGGUUCCUUUCAAAAUCUGUUAAUGUUAUUCUUUGACCCUUAGACCAUGAAUAUCAAGCAUAUAGCUUGGGGGCUGGAUCUGGCCUGCCAGGUUACUGGUUGACCAGGGAAUUUGGGUGCAGGGCUAGCAGGAUGUGGGGCCUGUGGCAGAAUCUGGGACCUUGGGGCCCUGUUGGACUCAUCAGCAGCUGGGUGAGUAAGGGCUGUCAACACAGUCCCACUUAAACUUUCAGCUACCUGGCCCACAACUACUGCUGCUUUUGCCACCUCUGCUGUAGCAACUAGCUACUUGGCCUGCAACCUCUUACCACACCACCAGAGCUACCGCUUGCUCUGCCGCUGGCUUUACCACCUACCCUCUUGUCUAGCUAUGGUCCGGGGCAUAAGGUAAGUUUGACACCCCUGCUUUCACGUAUAAUCAUCCCUGUCUUUAAUGAGGGACUGGAGGUAAGGGAAAAUGACUAGCUCUUCCCUGCCACAUCUAUCCUUUCCCUCCACCUCCCUCCGGAGGCCUCUCUUAGUUUUCGUGUCAACUAGCAUUGUUUUAUGCUUUCCUCCCAAGCCAUCCUAGAAAGCCACAGCCUUAUCACUUGUUGCCUCCACUAGCUGCAUACUGGUUUCUCCUCAGCAUUAGCUUGAUCUCCUGAUGUGACCAGACUCUCCCCUCCCACCUUGUUGGUUCCCCUUUAAUGGGGGUCAAGAAUCAGUAAGAGGAGAGACAGAAGGAUAGACUUUCCAAGAAACCCUGCCUGCCCUGUCUCUUCUCAGCCCAGCAGCAUUGCUGAAACUCAAAGAGAAGUGCUACUCCAUGAAACCCCCUAAUCUAAGCAUUAAUCAUUUGGCUUCUAGCCUGGAAAUUGAAAGCCCAAGAUGAGACAUUAACCAAGACUGGAGUUAUACUAUAAAUUUUUGCCUGGUAUAAGAUUAGUUGGGUAUGGUUUUGGUGCAACAUUUCUAUGAUAACAAAAGCUGUAAUGUAAACAAGGCUUAUAUAGGCAUAAAUGUGCUUUUGUCAGCAUAGUUGUUUCAUUCAGUAUCUCGUGCAAAUGGUAUCUGAAAACAUACUUUUUCUGCUGGUGGGUUUGUCCCUUAAAUGAAGCAUGGCUUUAUGAAGAUUUACGGCCUAGUUUUCAAAGCUUGGAGUAUGGUUUGGCAGCUAUACACUCAUUUUCUGCCCUGGGCCACGUCCAAACGUGCACGGACAUUUGGCUCCCCGGGGACACUGAGCUGCCCCUAGAGCUCCUCCCUUUAAAUUGUUUGGCCUUCCCACUUUAUCCUUCCCCCACCUCCAAGAGAGUCACUUCUACCUUACUUAUAACCAAUAGGGUGAUGAGCCAAUGAAUCAGAAGGGGUGUGCCGCUGCUAAUUGUCCCCAGGAAACGCCCAUACCACAUGCAUUCUGGCACGUGGCAAGUGACCCCAGUAAGGUAGGAAAGUUCAGCAAACUCACUCUGCACAUUUAGCUGCUCCUAGAGCUCCUCCCUUCAAAUUGUUUGAUCUUUCCACUUUACGCUCCUCUCCACCCGCAAGAGAACCACUUCUACCUCACUUAUAACCAACAGCGUGAUGAUGAACCAAUGAAUCAACAGAAACUAUUUAACAGACCAAGGACAAAUCUGCAUAGGAAAAUUAUACCAGCAUUAUCAAGCAUUUGAAUUUAAAUUGAUACUAGUUGAACCACAUCAAACUCCCGAAUGGAUGCCUUACACAGAUGCAAGAGUGGAUCUUUUGGGUUAACUUAAAUUCACAGUGUAUAAGCUAAACCAAAAAAAGGCAUUUUUAUAUGAAAGUAAGUGUCCUCCUAGGGUUUGUUUAGGUGUCAAAACUGAAGUUAAACCAGCACAACUUUCCUGUACAGAUGAGGCCUGGUUGUUCCAAGGAAAUAUAGGUAGAUGUUACUGCAAGGAAUACAACUGCAUCCCAUGUUAUUACCAUAUUAUGUUAAUACUUUCCAGUUAUAAAAGCACCUGGAACAUUAAAAGUGUCAUGCAGUCAUCCACUAAUUAAUCGCCUGAAUAUGAAGAGAUACAGGAAACAAUGAAGCAUACAAUAGUACAGUAAAGAGAAAGUAAAUGUUAUUAAUGAGAUGCAGAUUAAAGUUCUAUGUUCAGUUCUAUUAUUAACCACAGUUCUAAGUUAUUAUGAUGGUAAUCCUUUAUUAUGCUCUUUAAUGAGACAAUAGAGCUUUAACUCUAAUGAGUUCUGAAUUCUCCUCCAUCUGUCUUGUGACAUUAUUAUAUAUUUCUUCUCCAAUUGCCAGUAGCCUCACAGUUAUUUUAUCACACAUGACUAAAUUCAUCCAGCUGCAAAAGGCCUAAAGCAAAGAAUUCCAUACCACACAAAUCACCCAUAAGGAAAUUCUUGUCUUGCCAUUCUACUGAUUUCAGGUAUGAGACUUCAACACCCAUUUGAUACCUCAAAACCCAUUUGUCCAUUCCUAUUGUAUGCAUUAGGGAACUGGCUUUUAUGUUCUGUGAAGAGGCCUCCCCUUCCAAGGUAAAUGUCAACCAUUUUGUGUAAAACAUUCCAAGAAAGUGGCUCCAGAAAAGGAUUACUGUAUUCAAAGCACAAAUGUUUUCCAGGUAAAAGUAUUGCUUUUCAAGAUUUAACAGUUGUUGCUCUUCAAUUCUACCCAAACGACUAAAAUUAACAAUUUCUGCAUAAGCUGGCUUUUUCCCAUUCUUGCUCCUCCAUUGUUCUCUUGCUUAAGUUUAAGUAAUUUAUUAACUGGAAGUGACAGAAAAAGAUAUCAUUAUCUAAGAAAAGUAUAACUAUAAUUAACUAAUUGAGAAAUUAUAUGGAGAAAUUAUAUUGCCUGAUGUAGAAAAUAUGGAAUUGUGAUCAGUACCUAACACACUAAACUAAACUAAUUAUUAUGCACCGUAAUGUAUUUAAAUCCCUUCUAAAAACAUAAUGUAACAGCAAUAUAAAGCACAUAUGUUAAAAUAUGUAUUUAUAAGACACUGAUACAAGAUUUUCCUUCACUCCACUACCUGAAUAUUUGUCUAUAAUGAAAGCUAUUUAAUAAAUUAUGCAAAAAUUUGUCA